rnacentral:lncRNA from 1 species
AACAAGAACAAGCUAUUGGAACAUAAAGGAUUAACUUUUUCGAACGAAAAUACAUUUGUUGUGGACCUGGGAUUCCUAGAAGUGCUUUCUGAUGAAGAUAAUCAAAGGGUCAUCGCUGAGGAAGGCCUGAAGUAUGAGGAGGACCAUGAGUUCAUGGACUUCUUGAUGGAAGGUGCUUUUGAUGAGGAGCUACUUGGUGAAGACGAGGGUGAAGAGUAUGAGACACACACAUAGGACAGACAGGUGAACAUCGACUGGCAGAGAAGCAGCUGAACUGUUUGUCCCCUAAACCUCCGAGCUGUACAUGCUGUACAUACCAAGCUGAUGGUGCAGGUUGUAGAAAUGGUCUAGCCUGGUCCCAGAUCUGUUUAUGCUGACAUGCUAACUCCUAACGUAUGAUAGUUGUCAUGCCAUGUUACCAUAGCAUUGGGCUAUACAUAGGAGUUGGCUAUGUACAGAAGCACAAACAGAUUGAAGACCAAGGUAACAUUUGGCUGAUUGUCAGAACGGAAAGAGUGAAACUUCAAUGUAUUGUACUUGAGGACUACUCUAGAAAUGUUUGGCUUUGUUACAGGAAAGUUCGAAAUGAGAAUAUGACAUAGUUUGCUUCUGUGGAAACUGAAUGCGAGGGCAAGUAGUUGUGUAUGAUUUUAUGGUUAUGAUAGUGAUGUACCUUGCACUUUGUUUUUAGGUUUGAAUGAGACAAUGUAUUCCUCUAACCUUACUGUUUUAUUAAUAUUAUCUUACUUGUGUAUGUGUAG